ACGGGAGGCAGCAGUGGGGGAUAUUGCACAAUGGGCGAAAGCCUGAUGCAGCAACGCCGCGUGAGGGAAGACGGUUUUCGGAUUGUAAACCUCUGUCUUUGGUGAAGAAGAAAGUGACGGUAGCCAAGGAGGAAGCCACGGCUAACUACGUGCCAGCAGCCGCGGUAAUACGUAGGUGGCAAGCGUUGUCCGGAAUUACUGGGUGUAAAGGGAGCGCAGGCGGGACUGCAAGUUGGAUGUGAAAUACCGCAGCUUAACUGCGGAGCUGCAUCCAAAACUGUAGUUCUUGAGUGGAGUAGAGGUAGGCGGAAUUCCGAGUGUAGCGGUGAAAUGCGUAGAUAUUCGGAGGAACACCAGUGGCGAAGGCGGCUUACUGGACGAUAACUGACGUUGAGGCUCGAAAGCGUGGGGAGCAAACAGGAUUAGAUACCCUGGUA
rnacentral:rRNA from 1 species